CGAUUCAUACGCUGCGUAGCAUGCAGUCGAACGGCAGCACGGGAGCAAUCCUGGUGGCGAGUGGCGAACGGGUGAGUAAUACAUCGGAACGUGCCCAAUCGUGGGGGAUAACGCAGCGAAAGCUGUGCUAAUACCGCAUAAGAUCUACGGAUGAAAGCAGGGGAUCGCAAGACCUUGCGCGAAUGGAGCGGCCGAUGGCAGAUUAGGUAGUUGGUGAGGUAAAGGCUCACCAAGCCUUCGAUCUGUAGCUGGUCUGAGAGGACGACCAGCCACACUGGGACUGAGACACGGCCCAGACUCCUACGGGAGGCAGCAGUGGGGAAUUUUGGACAAUGGGCGAAAGCCUGAUCCAGCCAUGCCGCGUGCAGGAUGAAGGCCUUCGGGUUGUAAACUGCUUUUGUACGGAACGAAAAGUCUCUUUCUAAUAAAGAGGGAUCAUGACGGUACCGUAAGAAUAAGCACCGGCUAACUACGUGCCAGCAGCCGCGGUAAUACGUAGGGUGCAAGCGUUAAUCGGAAUUACUGGGCGUAAAGCGUGCGCAGGCGGUUAUAUAAGACAGUUGUGAAAUCCCCGGGCUCAACCUGGGAACUGCAUCUGUGACUGUAUAGCUAGAGUACG
rnacentral:rRNA from 1 species